UUCUUUAUGCGUAAUAAUUUUAUAUAUACAAGAAUUAAAGAAGGAAUCUUCCAAUGAAAGAUUGAAGAUCAAAAAAAAAAAAUUUUUAUUCCCUACGUGACGGAUACAAAACUAAAGAUCUAAAUCUAAAUGUAAAAAAUUUUAAACAGUACUCAUCAUCGUCAAGAGAGAGGAAAAAGGAGAAAAAAGGAAGAAGAAGGAAAAAAAAAUCAAGACAAAAGAAUCGAAAAAAACCUCUCCCAGUCAUUAUCGUCGCCUCCAAACAAUGUCGCCCCGAUUCCCGUAGACAAGGGGCCCCGGUUAAAGGGCCCAGAAAAGAGCGAAAACUCGCCGAGGCUGGAUUUGCCUCAUUAACAGGGACGCGAGUUCUGAAUCGGGCGGCCGAGGCCUGCAAGCAUCAAAGCAUCGCAUUCAGUUUACCCAAAACAAUUACCGGCAAACCGAACGCCUUUUCUCCGCGUAAGCAGAUCAAAGGCGCGCGCCCGUGGUCGUCAUUAAGCAACGAGACGUCAUUAAGCUUUCGGAUAGCGGCACUUUAAAUCAUCGGGGGAGGGGGCACGCGCAUAUACGACGGUUGCGCUUGCGUUCAACGGAAUCGUUCAAGGCACUCGCCACUCGACAGCUACCGCCCUCUCGACGAGCCUCUAAUCCAUUGUAACUAAAGAUCAAAAAAAGAAGAGAAAGAGAAAAGGAAAGGAAAGGAGAGGAAACUGUCGAUUUUACCCAACGCAAAUACUCCCCCCUUCCUUCAACCGACCGACAGCAAUUCCUUGCGACUCGCGACCGAGCUCGCAGAGUCAAGUGGUGGGGGGAAUGGGAAGAAAAAGAAACGAACACUUGAGGGGUUACGCGAGUGCAACGCUUGGAAGUUCGAGGAGCUUUUGGUUCGAGGCAGAAGAAUAGGAAAGAGCUAACGCGGAGAGGAGGACGGCACGUGUUGAAUUUCUCUCUUUCUCCCCUCCCUUCCUUCUUUUCUCUCUCUCUCUCUCUCUCCUUCCCCCUCCUUUCUCUCGCCCAACCGUUUCUCACUACCGCCCUCUGUGCUAGGCGCCCCGUGUCCGCCCCAACGUCAACGGCGACGAUUCGAGUCCUCUCGUUUCUCGCUCUCUUUUGCGGACCAGAAUCGCGCGUAUUUGUUUUCCGCGCCCUAACAACCGGGCCGGGGAGAUGGUAGCCGGCUCUCUUCAAGCCGAGUACACAAGGAGAAACACCGUGAACCUCGGCGGACCCGUGUAUGUGCGCACCGGCUCUGCGUACAGUACUUUUGCGCCGGUGUCGCGUUGUAUCGAGUUAGAGGAUGUUUCAGAAGUAGGGGGUCGAGGAAGAAGAGGGCGGAGAGAGAAUAUUUUUCUCGAACAGCCAAAGAAGCAAUAAAACGCUGAGGGAUAGGAGAAUCACUAUCCAGCCCCUUCCGGUUCCACGGAUGCGAGUGUUUAGUGCGAACGCACCCUUACGCUAGAAGCAGACAGGGGAAGGAAGCUAGGAAAAUCGACGGAGGGUGAUUCGAAAAGGGACGAAAAAAUCGAAGCUGGAAAAUGAGGAAGUGAACGGAACGUUAUCAGAAACUGUGAAAAAGAUGGGAAAAAUAAAAAAUAAAAAAAAAAGGAAAAACGAAAAGAUAAAAGGAAGCUUGAUAAAAAACAAAAAAGAAGAAUAAAAAUUUAAAAAAAAAUCUUCAACGAUAACGAAAGUGAAAAUGUGAAUAAAAACAUUGUCAGAAAAUCUAGAUAUUAUAUUUGUAAAUAAAUUGAAAAAUAAAAAUGAAUGAUGGAAGAGACGAAAAGAUGAAGAAGAAUUUAACAAAAAUCAUAAAACGGAGAAAGGAGGAAUAAAUACGCGAGAAAUUUCGAGGAGAGUUUAAAAAAAAAAAA